rnacentral:rRNA from 1 species
AUUGAACGCUGGCGGCAGGCCUUACACAUGCAAGUCGAGCGGAUGAAGGGAGCUUGCUCCUGGAUUCAGCGGCGGACGGGUGAGUAAUGCCUAGGAAUCUGCCUGGUAGUGGGGGAUAACGUCCGGAAACGGGCGCUAAUACCGCAUACGUCCUGAGGGAGAAAGUGGGGGAUCUUCGGACCUCACGCUAUCAGAUGAGCCUAGGUCGGAUUAGCUAGUUGGUGGGGUAAAGGCCUACCAAGGCGACGAUCCGUAACUGGUCUGAGAGGAUGAUCAGUCACACUGGAACUGAGACACGGUCCAGACUCCUACGGGAGGCAGCAGUGGGGAAUAUUGGACAAUGGGCGAAAGCCUGAUCCAGCCAUGCCGCGUGUGUGAAGAAGGUCUUCGGAUUGUAAAGCACUUUAAGUUGGGAGGAAGGGCAGUAAGUUAAUACCUUGCUGUUUUGACGUUACCAACAGAAUAAGCACCGGCUAACUUCGUG